rnacentral:tRNA from 1 species
GGAGAGGUGGCCGAGUGGCUUAAGGCGGCGGUCCUGAAAACCGUUUGGGAAUCCCCCACGCAGGUUCGACUCCUGUCCUCUCCGCCA